rnacentral:rRNA from 1 species
GGGCCCGCACAAGCGGUGGAGUAUGUGGUUUAAUUCGAUGCAACGCGAAGAACCUUACCAGGGUUUGACAUCCUGCGAAUCUCUUGGAAACGAGAGAGUGCCUUCGGGAACGCAGUGACAGGUGGUGCAUGGCUGUCGUCAGCUCGUGUCGUGAGAUGUUGGGUUAAGUCCCGCAACGAGCGCAACCCACGUCGUUAGUUGCCAGCAUUUAGUUGGGCACUCUAGCGAGACCGCCGGUGAUAAACCGGAGGAAGGUGUGGAUGACGUCAAGUCAUCAUGCCCCUUACAUCCUGGGCUACACACGUGCUACAAUGGUAGGUACAGAGGGAAGCCACCCCGCGAGGGGGAGCGGA